ACUCCUACGGGAGGCAGCAGUAGGGAAUCUUCCACAAUGGGCGCAAGCCUGAUGGAGCAACACCGCGUGAGUGAAGAAGGGUUUCGGCUCGUAAAGCUCUGUUGUUAAAGAAGAACACGUAUGAGAGUAACUGUUCAUACGUUGACGGUAUUUAACCAGAAAGUCACGGCUAACUACGUGCCAGCAGCCGCGGUAAUACGUAGGUGGCAAGCGUUAUCCGGAUUUAUUGGGCGUAAAGAGAGUGCAGGCGGUUUUCUAAGUCUGAUGUGAAAGCCUUCGGCUUAACCGGAGAAGUGCAUCGGAAACUGGAUAACUUGAGUGCAGAAGAGGGUAGUGGAACUCCAUGUGUAGCGGUGGAAUGCGUAGAUAUAUGGAGAACACCAGUGGCGAAGGCGGCUACCUGGUCUGCAACUGACGCUGAGACUCGAAAGCAUGGGUAGCGAACAGGAUUAGAUACCCCUGGUAGGAUAGCG
rnacentral:rRNA from 1 species